AUGGAAUUUGAGAAUGACGAUAUUGCAUAUGAGUUUUACAAUACAUACGCAGGACAUGUAGGUUUCAGUGUCAGGAAAUCUUGGCAUGAUAAAUCCUCAACGACUAAUGUUAUUCGAACAAAGAAAUUUGUAUGCUCAAAGGAAGGUCACAAGGACAAGAGCAAGGAACAAUGUCAGAGGAAGCGAGCAGAAACAAGAGUUGGUUGUCUGGCAGAGAUGACCAUCAAAAUAAGUGCUAAUGGAAAAUAUGUCGUAAGUAGCUUUGAGGAUGCUCAUAAUCAUGAACUCGUAACUCCAAGCAAAGCCCAUCUACUGCGAUUCCAAAGAAGAAUUACAGAAGGUCAGAAGGCCCAAAUUGACAUCUUGAAUGAUUCAGGUAUUAGACCAAAAUCUGGUCAUGAAGUGAUGAGUAGACAAGCAGGGGGUCGACAGUCUCUUAGCUUCGGUCAAAAAGAUUAUAAAAAUUAUCUCCGAUCAAAGCGUAUGCAAUCCAUCCAAGAAGGAGACACGGGUGCCAUUCUUCAAUACCUUCAGGACAAGCAGAUGGAAAAUCCUUCCUUUUUCUAUGCAAUACAAGUAGAUGAAGAUGAGAUGAUAACCAAUAUAUUCUGGGCAGAUGCAAGAUCAAUACUAGAUUAUCACUACUUUGGUGAUGUGGUAUGCUUUGACACAACCUUUAAGACAAAUAGUUAUGGCAGACCAUUUGCCCCUUUUGUUGGUGUCAACCAUCAUAAACAAACAGUGGUUUUUGGAGCUGCAUUACUGUAUGAUGAAUCAUCUGAGACAUUUGAAUGGUUGUUUGAAACAUUCAAAAGGGCCAUGUCAGGGAAAGAACCAAAGACAAUAUUGACCGAUCAAUGUGCUGCCAUUAUUAGUGCCAUUGGCAAGGUUUUUACUAACUCAAUACAUCGUCUAUGUGUGUGGCACAUGUAUCAGAAUGCUGCAAAACAUUUGAGUCAUGUUUUCCAAGGUUCGAAGGCAUUUAAGAAAGAUUUUGGCAAAUGUGUUUAUGAUUUUGAAGAAGUUGAUGAAUUCUUAGCAGGUUGGAAUGAUAUGCUAGUGAAAUAUAAUUUGGAAGAUAAUGAAUGGCUACAUAGAUUAUUCCAGAACAAGGAGAAGUGGGCUUUGGUUUAUGGUCGACAAACCUUUUGUGCAGAUAUGAAAUCCACACAAAGAAGCGAGAGUCUGAAUGCACUAUUGAAAUGGUACUUGCAUGUUUGA
rnacentral:rRNA from 1 species